rnacentral:rRNA from 1 species
GCCACUGCUAUUGGGGUUCGGCUAAGCCAUGCGAGUGGAGGGCGUCCCGCAAGGGAUGGCCCCGCAGACGGCUCAGUAACACGUCGUCAACCCACCUUAGGGUGGGGGACAACCUCGGGAAACUGAGGAUAAUCCCCCCAAAGGCGGGGGAGGCUGGAAUGCGCCCCCGCUGAAAGCUCAGGCGCCCUAGGACGGGACGGCGGCCUAUCAGGUAGUUGGUGGUGUGACG